GAUUUGCUGGGAGUAUCCUCUGGUUGCUGUUCCAGAUACUUCCUGACUUCCUGGGGCUCGGGGAGAGGUGGAUGCCUGCUGGGGCCAUUUGCAAAGCAAGAACAGCUUCUGCUAGGAAUAAGCAGGCCUCCACUGACCUUUGUUGGACGUUCUCUCCUCUCCCUCCUUCCCAUCUGUCUCCAUCUUCUCUCUCCCACCUUUCUGCAGAGCCACCAACCAAAUACCAAAUCUCUCAACCAGAAGUGUACGUGGCUGCGCCAGGGGAGUCGCUAGAGGUGCGCUGCCUGUUGAAAGAUGCCGCCGUGAUCAGUUGGACUAAGGAUGGGGUGCACUUGGGGCCCAACAAUAGGACAGUGCUUAUUGGGGAGUACUUGCAGAUAAAGGGCGCCACGCCUAGAGACUCCGGCCUCUAUGCUUGUACUGCCACUAGGACUGUAGACAGUGAAACUUGGUACUUCAUGGUGAAUGUCACAGAUGCCAUCUCAUCUGGAGAUGAUGAGGAUGACACCGAUGGUGCGGAAGAUUUUGUCAGUGAGAACAGUAACAACAAGAGUAAGUAACUGCCCGGCUCCGAUGGUCCCCGAGAGAGGAGCAUGGAGGGAAGUCCUGCCUGUCACCUGUCUUCUUGUCGACUCUUCCGCGCCAUGCUGUGUCCUGCGGCCCUUGCCUUUCCCCGCUGUGUCUACUUUCCUGACUUUCAAACCUGAGAAUAAACCAGUGUUGCUGCAUA
rnacentral:sRNA from 1 species